UACGUAGGGCGCAAGCGUUGUCCGGAAUUAUUUGGGCGGUAAAGAGCUCGUAGGCGGUUUGUCGCGUCUGGUGUCGGAAAACUCCAAGGCUCAACCUUGAGCUUGCAUCGGGUACGGGCAGACUAAGAGUGCGGGUAGGGGUGACUGGAAUUCCUGGUGUAGCGGUGGAAAUGCGCAGAUAUCAGAGGAACACCGAUGGCGAAGGCGGUCACUGGGCCGCAACUGACGCUGAGACGCGAAAGCGUGGGGAGCAAACAGG
rnacentral:rRNA from 1 species